rnacentral:rRNA from 1 species
AUGGUUGUCGUCAGCUCGUGUCGUGAGAUGUUGGGUUAAGUCCCGCAACGAGCGCAACCCUUAUCCUUAGUAGCCAGCAGUUCGGCUGGGCACUCUGGGGAGACUGCCAGGGAUAACCUGGAGGAAGGUGGGGAUGACGUCAAGUCAUCAUGGCCCUUACGAGUAGGGCUACACGACGUGCUACAAUGGCAUAUACAAAGAGAAGCGACCUCGCGAGAGCAAGCGGACCUCAUAAAGUAUGUCGUAGUCCGGAUUGGAGUCUGCAACUCGACUCCAUGAAGUCGGAAUCGCUAGUAAUCGUGGAUCAGAAUGCCACGGUGAAUACGUUCCCGGGCCUU